rnacentral:rRNA from 1 species
UGGGGAAUAUUGGACAAUGGGCGCAAGCCUGAUCCAGCCAUGCCGCGUGAGUGAUGAAGGCCCUAGGGCUGUAAAGCUCUUUCAGCGAGGAGGAUAAUGACGUUACUCGUAGAAGAAGCCCCGGCUAACUUCGUGCCAGCAGCCGCGGUAAUACGAAGGGGGCUAGCGUUGCUCGGAAUCACUGGGCGUAAAGCGCACGUAGGCGGACUUUUAAGUCAGGGGUGAAAUCCCGGGGCUCAACCUCGGAACUGCCUUUGAUACUGGAAGUCUGGAGUCCGAGAGAGGUGAGUGGAACUCCGAGUGUAGAGGUGAAAUUCGUAGAUAUUCGGAAGAACACCAGUGGCGAAGGCGGCUCACUGGCUCGGUACUGACGCUGAGGUGCGAAAAGCGUGGGGAGCAAAACAGGAUUAGAUACCCUGGUAGUCCACGCCGUAAAACGAUGGAAGCUAGCCGUCAGGGUGCAUGCAUCUUGGUGGCGCAGUUAACGCAUUAAGCUUCCCGCCUGGGGAGUACGGUCGCAAGAUUAAAAACUU